rnacentral:rRNA from 1 species
CCUACGGGAGGCAGCAGUGGGGAAUUUUGGACAAUGGGGGCAACCCUGAUCCAGCCAUGCCGCGUGCGGGAAGAAGGCCUUCGGGUUGUAAACCGCUUUUGGUCGGGAAGAAAAGGCACGUUUUAAUACGGCGUGUUCUUGACGGUACCGGCAGAAUAAGCACCGGCUAACUACGUGCCAGCAGGCGCGGUAAUACGUAGGGUGCGAGCGUUAAUCGGAAUUACUGGGCGUAAAGCGUGCGCAGGCGGUUCGUUAAGUUCGUUGUGAAAGCCCCGGGCUCAACCUGGGAAUGGCAAUGGAAACUGGCGGGCUGGAGUAUGGCAGAGGGGGGUGGAAUUCCACGUGUAGCAGUGAAAUGCGUAGAGAUGUGGAGGAACACCGGUGGCGAAGGCAGCCCCCUGGGCCAAUACUGACGCUCAGGCACGAAAGCGUGGGGAGCAAACAGGAUUAGAUACCCUGGUAGUCCACGCCCUAAACGAUGUCAACUGGGUGUUGGGGAAGCGAUUCCUUGGUACCGUAGCUAACGCGUGAAGUUGACCGCCUGGGGAGUACGGCCGCAAGGUUAAAACUCAAAUGAAUUGACGGA